UGGAAGCUCCUCAUCAGCAAGUCAUGAUAAAGAUCACGAGCAUCAGUUUAUUUUUCGGUCAAAACUCUUGAAUAUUUCAGCAUCAUAUUUUUUAAAUUCUUUUACAAAACUAUGGAUGCACACACAGCUGCCAAAUUUUUCAUCGGGAUGUUACGAAAGUGGAUUCAUCGUUGGAGAUGUAUAUUUCAUUCAGGAUCGUUUUGGUAUUGUUUCUGUUAACAGACCAUGCAGGAUGUAAUAAUACUGUUGCUCAAGCCAUUGGUGUAGGAAUAAAAAUACCUGGAAGGAAGAAUAUCCGUGUAAAUGGUGUGGUUACCAACAAUGUGAUGUCACUUAAUUUUGCUUCCUACCUAUACUUUAGCUUUUAUGUUCGUUCCCUUCCUCCUAGAAUUUAGCUCUUAAUUCUAAGAUUUUAAUCUGCUAUUAUCCCGCCUGCACUUUCUUAUGUGAUUCCAAUAUAGCUAACUUAGUCUAUUGCCUACGUUAAAUUUUUUGUAAGUUAGAUUUAUAAGCACAACACCACUUGUUCAUUUUAAAAAAUGUUAGACUUAUCUUCCACAACGAAAGACACUAAAGUAAAAAAAGCACUGAAAUGAAGCGUAUCAGUUUUAUGUCUAGUAAAUGAAUAUUGUGCUAGUUAAUUUAGAAAUAAUAUAAUAUGAUGGAUAUACUUAUAAAUAAUGGUUAUGCCUUAAUAAACAUAGUCAUCACAAAUAAUAUUGUGCUUAUGGUAUGAUUUGCGACCGUGUGAAACAGUAGCAUAAAACUAUAAAUAUGAUAUAAUAAAACAUAGAUUGCUGACGUAUGAA